AUUGAACGCUGGCGGCAGGCCUAACACAUGCAAGUCGAACGAGUGGCGGACGGGUGAGUAAUGUCUGGGAAACUGCCCGAUGGAGGGGGAUAACUACUGGAAACGGUAGCUAAUACCGCAUACCAUCGGAUGUGCCCAGAUGGGAUUAGCUAGUAGGUGGGGUAACGGCUCACCUAGGCGACGAUCACUAGCUGGUCUGAGAGGAUGACCAGCCACACUGGAACGGAGACACGGUCCAGACUCCUACGGGAGGCAGCAGUGUGGAAUAUUUCACAAUGGGCGCAAGCCUGAUGCAGCCAUGCCGCGUGUAUGAAGAAGGCCGUCGGGUUGUAAAGUACUUUCAGCGGGGAGGCGUUACUCGCAGAAGAAGCACCGGCUAACUCCGUGCCAGCAGCCGCGGUAAUAC
rnacentral:rRNA from 1 species